UGGUACUUGUCUUUCUGUGUCUGGCC
rnacentral:piRNA from 1 species